UGCCUUUAGGAUUAAAGGUAAUUCUGCUCAGUGAACACUUAAACAGCCGUUUAACGCUAAGGUAGCGUAAUCAAAAGUUCAUUAAUUGUGAACCCGUAUGAAAGAAAAAGUCUUAAAUCACUUUGUUAUACCAAUAAAUGAACCUAAGGAAAUAAAAGAAAAUUUUCUAAAACCACAAGACGAGAAGACCCUAAAAGCUAAUUGAAUAGAACAAUUUUUUGGGGAAAAUUAUAAAAAAUAUUCUUUACGAAAAAAUAUAAAAUAACCCUUAAAAUGGGGUACUUUAGGGAUAACAGAGCAAUAAAAAAUAAGAGAACAUAUCUGAUUUUAAGAUUGCAACCUCUAUGUUGGAUUCUCUAACCUCACCCCGCAUGAAUGAGGGAGGGGAUAGACUGAUCUUUUUUUAAGACAG
rnacentral:rRNA from 1 species